GUAUGCCCGGCGCUGAUUGGCUACUCGUAAAGAGCCCCGCCCUCUGGGCACGCGCAGGAGGUGGGGCGGGCUCGAGAAGGCCGCGCGGUGCGCGGCCCCGCGGGCUUAGCCUUCGUGACCCGCGUGCUGGCUCUGGCGUCCGGGCUCCCGGGCGUCCGCGAGCAAACAGUCAUUCUCCAAGUUAUUUGUUUUGGAAAUAUUACUUCUUCCUGUAUCAGAUUUACCUUAAGGUAAUUCCAGUUCUCAUGGGCUUCCUCAAGAUGUGGAUGGCAUAAAGGACACAGAUACCAAGAAGAGCUCACCAUCAUGGCUUUCCUCACGAUAGGCUGCCCUGCUUUCUCCAGAUGAGAAGAACCUGGAAUCUAACUCCAGAAGGAGAGAUGAGCAACCCAGAACCUGCUAAUGCUUAAUUGGUGAGCCACCUUUGGAAGCAGGCUACCCAGAAACAGAAGGAGGAUCACCUUGAGUUCGAGGCCAGCCUGGGCUACAUAGUGAGUUCGAGGCCAGCCUGGACUACAUACAUAGCAAGACCCUGUCUCAAAAAGACCAAAUAAAUAAUAAAUGAAUAAAUAAAUGUCUGAAUUGGAAUUCAAAAAGAAAAGAAGAAAAGUAAUUCCGUGUUGUCC
rnacentral:lncRNA from 1 species